rnacentral:rRNA from 1 species
GUCUACAGCCAUACUACCCUGAAUAAGCCCGAUCUUGUCUGAUCUCAGAAGCUAAGCAGGGUCAGGCCUGGUUAGUACUUGGAUGGGAGACCACCUAAGAAGACCAGGUAGUAGGCG